rnacentral:rRNA from 1 species
UGCAAGUCGACGACUCUGGUAUUGAUUGGUGCUUGCAUCAUGAUUUACAUUUGAGUGAGUGGCGAACUGGUGAGUAACACGUGGGAAACCUGCCCAGAAGCGGGGGAUAACACCUGGAAACAGAUGCUAAUACCGCAUAACAACUUGGACCGCAUGGUCCGAGUUUGAAAGAUGGCUUCGGCUAUCACUUUUGGAUGGUCCCGCGGCGUAUUAGCUAGAUGGUGGGGUAACGGCUCACCAUGGCAAUGAUACGUAGCCGACCUGAGAGGGUAAUCGGCCACAUUGGGACUGAGACACGGCCCAAACUCCUACGGGAGGCAGCAGUAGGGAAUCUUCCACAAUGGACGAAAGUCUGAUGGAGCAACGCCGCGUGAGUGAAGAAGGGUUUCGGCUCGUAAAACUCUGUUGUUAAAGAAGAACAUAUCUGAGAGUAACUGUUCAGGUAUUGACGGUAUUUAACCAGAAAGCCACGGCUAACUACGUGCCAGCAGCCGCGGUAAUACGUAGGUGGCAAGCGUUGUCCGGAUUUAUUGGGCGUAAAGCGAGCGCAGGCGGUUUUUUAAGUCUGAUGUGAAAGCCUUCGGCUCAACCGAAGAAGUGCAUCGGAAACUGGGAAACUUGAGUGCAGAAGAGGACAGUGGAACUCCAUGUGUAGCGGUGAAAUGCGUAGAUAUAUGGAAGAACACCAGUGGCGAAGGCGGCUGUCUGGUCUGUAACUGACGCUGAGGCUCGAAAGUAUGGGUAGCAAACAGGAUUAGAUACCCUGGUAGUCCAUACCGUAAACGAUGAAUGCUAAGUGUUGGAGGGUUUCCGCCCUUCAGUGCUGCAGCUAACGCAUUAAGCAUUCCGCCUGGGGAGUACGGCCGCAAGGCUGAAACUCAAAGGAAUUGACGGGGGCCCGCACAAGCGGUGGAGCAUGUGGUUUAAUUCGAAGCUACGCGAAGAACCUUACCAGGUCUUGACAUACUAUGCAAAUCUAAGAGAUUAGACGUUCCCUUCGGGGACAUGGAUACAGGUGGUGCAUGGUUGUCGUCAGCUCGUGUCGUGAGAUGUUGGGUUAAGUCCCGCAACGAGCGCAACCCUUAUUAUCAGUUGCCAGCAUUAAGUUGGG